GUAUUGGUGGUUCAGUGGCAGAAUUCUCGCCUUGCAUGUGGGAGACCUGGGUUCGAUUCCUAGCCAAUGCA
rnacentral:tRNA from 1 species